CAAGUCUGACGGAGCACGCCGCGUGAGUGAUGAAGGUUUCGGAUCGUAAAACUCUGUUGUUAGGGAAGAACAAGUGCCAAGUAACUGAUGGCGCCUUGACGGUACCUAACCAGAAAGCCACGGCUAACUACGUGCCAGCAGCCGCGGUAAUACGUAGGUGGCAAGCGUUGUCCGGAAUUAUUGGGCGUAAAGCGCUCGCAGGCGGUUCUUUAAGUCUGAUGUGAAAUCUUACGGCUCAACCGUAAACGUGCAUUGGAAACUGGGGAACUUGAGUGCAGAAGAGGAGAGUGGAAUUCCACGUGUAGCGGUGAAAUGCGUAGAGAUGUGGAGGAACACCAGUGGCGAAGGCGACUCUCUGGUCUGUAACUGACGCUGAGGAGCGACAGCGUGGGGAGCGAACAGGAUUAGAUACCCUGGUAGUCCACGCCGUAAACGAUGAGUGCUA
rnacentral:rRNA from 1 species